AUACGAGUGGUGCAAGCGUUAUUCGGAAUCAUUGGGCGUACAGGGUGUGUAGGCGGCAUGUUAAGUCUGUUGUUAAAGACUCCGGCCUAACCGGAGAUGGGCAGCGGAAACUGGCAUGCUAGAGGUUGGAAGAGAGAAGCGGAAUUCUCGGUGUAGCGGUAAAAUGCGUAGAUAUCGAGAGGAACACCGAUGGCGAAGGCAGCUUCUUGGUCCAUACCUGACGCUGAAACACGAAAGCGUGGGGAGCAAACAGGAUUAGAUACCCUGGUAGUCCACGCCGUAAACGAUGAGUACUAGGUGUAGGGGGUAUCGACCCCCCCUGUGCCGCAGUAAACACAAUAAGUACUCCGCCUGGGAAGUACGAUCGCAAGAUUAAA
rnacentral:rRNA from 1 species